CCGAGUGCGGGCCCUCUGGGUCCAACCUCCCACCCGUGUUUAUCGUACCUUGUUGCUUCGGCGGGCCCGCCGUCAGGCCGCCGGGGGCAUCCGCCCCGGGCCCGCGCCCGCCGAAGACACCCCGAACGCUGUCUGAAGAUUGCAGUCUGAGCGAUUUAGCGAAAUUAUUUA
rnacentral:misc_RNA from 1 species